CCAACGGCCCUCUUUAGGGCCACAUAUCUCUCCUUAGAACUGAUCA
rfam:Steinernema glaseri strain NC unplaced genomic scaffold GLAS_2445, whole genome shotgun sequence.